AAACACGACCAGAUCUGUGGAAACCUAGAGCCGCCACCUUUAGAUCCCCCGGAAGUGCCUUCCCGGUGAAUCCUAUACAGCGACCGGCGACACCUCUCCUCCCCUAGCUGGUACAAGGUCCUCGUCUGCUCUAAAAGUUUGUGACGUGCUGCGCAGAGACCCGAUCCAGCCAGGUUCGGUGCAAGGGUUGAUUUCGCCACAAGCCCAUGGCGGAUCAUAGCAGAUCUCCUUAGUCAAGGAUCCAUAGGUAUUUCCUGUAUGAAGUUUGUGGAGCCUUCCAAGUACAACACGCAGAAGUUCACUACAGCUACACUCUAUUCAAGCAGCAAAGUGAUGGCCAAUUCUUUAGCUAACAUUUUCAGGCUUCAAAUAAAAUGCAGCAAAGCUUCAAGCUGUACUGCCUAGAAGAGAAGUGGUAAAGCUUUUGAAGAUGCAUCAUGAGGAUGUUGCUGCAUCUGACUGGCUGUGCUUACUUUUUAAAGCUAAUAAGCAAUAAUUAUGAUGAUCGCUAAUUCCCCUGAAUCCCUGAUGCUAACAAGAUACAUAUUUUGGCCAGCAUUGAAC